AGUUGUCAUUAUCAGUUGUCCUCCGUGACAUAAUCACUAACAUCAUCUUUCUCGUGGUUGCUCUCGUUAUUGUUUUGUUUAUGUUACUAGUAACCAAGAAUUCAAUUUACGUCCGUUCAUCGAUCAGUUGAUUCUUAUGGAAGUUGCUUGUUUUAGUGACUAGUUGCAACUGCUAGCCGUUGUUGCAUUUGUCCUUAUUGGUUUUAUGUUGUAUGCCGCAGCGUUUGUGUCACAAUUCAUUUGUCACCUCUAUUAACGUAAGUAAAAUNUCCGUUCCUCGAUUCCGUGUCGACUUUUACUCUUGCGAUUAGUGUAUUUUUU